ensembl:lncRNA LINC02306 long intergenic non-protein coding RNA 2306
GAGACUCGGCACUGGCAGAACAAAGAAACCUAGGAGGGAAGCUUUGCUCCAAAAGAGAGGUUUUGCUUCAGGAGAAGACUGUUCCAAGAAAAGGGAGACUGGCUGUUUCAAACUCAAAAAAGCUGAUCUUAUGGCUCUUAGCAAAAUAGUGGUGUCUUUAAGAGUUGAUUGGGCUCCUUCCUCCUGAGUGGGUUUAAGUACCUAACAAAAGAGGCUUCAAGCAGUAUUCAGCUCUCUUGCCCUUCCGCUCUCUGCUAUGUGAAGACACAGUGUUCCUCCCCUCUCCCUUCUGGAAGACACAGCGACAAUGUGCCAUAUCGGAAGGAAGCAGAGAACAUCCCUCACCAAAUAAUCAAUCCUGCUGGUGCCUUAAUUAUGAACUUCUCAGCCUGCAGAACUCAUGAAGGCCAUCAUCGGAUGUGGGCUGAUUGAUCUUGGACUUCCAAGCCUCCAGAACUAGAACUACUCCACCAUCAUCUGAUGUGGUUCUGAUGGCUGUGUGUUUCUCAGCUUUAUCCUCAGCCUGUGGGUAAUUUAAAAUAAAUACUUUUGCAAGUGAACCAAUAGAAAUAUUUCACUGUCAUUGGGCAGAAAGCUAAAAACCUAAUUACGUUGGAAGUAGGAAGAGGAAGUAAGUAUGGUUGGAAGAGGUGGAGUCUGGUGCUGCCAGAGCAGAAAGCACAAAGAAGAACGUGCUUUUAGCCUAGAUGCCCCAAAUUGCAAAAGUAAUGAAAAAGACCCAGUGAUAAUAAUGCGAUUGGAAAGGAAGACACUGAUUUCUCACAUGACUGUGGCAAACUGUGAAGAGUGAAAAUUCCAGAAGACUUAAAUUGUCUAUAGUUUUGGCAUCUCUCCCUCUAUGUACUUGCUAUCUUUUUUUUGCUUUUAAGUCUGCUUAGUUACAACUGCAGACCACAGUAAAAUUAUAGAUUUGGAGAUGUUGGAAUGUUUCCUCAAAGAUAAAAGCCAAUUAAAAAAAUUUUAACAAAGAACAGAAGAAGCAAUCAAGAGUUUGUAACAAAUUAUUAGGAUUAAUAAAAAAUAUGCUUUGUA